rnacentral:rRNA from 1 species
CGGGGUGAGUAACGCGUAGGAACCUAUCGCACAGUGGGGGAUAACACUGGGAAACCGGUGCUAAUACCGCAUGUGGUCAGCGAUGAAGAAAGCAGCAAUGCGCUGUGUGAGGGGCCUGCGUCCGAUUAGCUGGUUGGUGGGGUAACGGCCUACCAAGGCGACGAUCGGUAGCUGGUCUGAGAGGAUGGUCAGCCACACUGGGACUGAGACACGGCCCAG